AUAACGUGACUGGGAAGCGGCUUGCUUCCCGUGUAUGAUUGAACCCGCAGCGCGCCCGGCAGGUCAGGGUGAGCGCUAAGGGUUCAUUUUUAU
rnacentral:sRNA from 1 species